UCGUGUUCUCUAGUGCUUCUUUGAUUUUCCAUGGGAAGAAUGUGUCUCUGACAGCUGCUCUCCCAAGGAGAAUAUGGAGUCACCUGGAGCCAAUCUGAAUCCAGCCCUUGUCUGGAGCCAACCCCAGCUGCCCUCAGCCUGGAGCAGAGCUGCCUUCACCAAAGCACAGACACGGUUCAUGGUCUCUCGGAGAGUUACUUCCAGUAUAUUGUUUUUCGAACUUAGCCACCAUCCACAGACAUGAGGAUGGAAAGGAAGACAGGGGUGAAUGGGAACAGGGAACAGUGUCCCGCCACGUGGAAGACUGUGUGGACUGGCUGCAGGGUUGGGUGAGAGUCAGUCAGGCCACAGUUCCACAGGCUCAAUCUAUUUUGCAAUCUCUGGGAAGCAGCCAUAGCCCCCCAAAGCCUUUGUUUUCCUGUAAAUAAACGGUGUUGGGACCAGAGGACAAUGGUGCAUCCCGUGGUGAUUGACACCAGCCACGGCUACUAAUCAGGAUGGGACUUCAUCGCCAGCUGAGUCGAGUGCAUUAUGGGGCCAUUGUUCCAACGCUGCCAGGGCAAGAACACACACAGCCAGUCACCUUCGCAAGAUGGGUUGAUUGUUCUUCAAGAUUAGACCGAGUUGCCUUAUUAUCCGUCCCAGACAACAAGGCAUCUCACCCAAACAGACGCAUGUGCAGGGAUGGCCGGUGCGCUGGCCAGAUUUGAAUUGCUAAUGUAUAAUCUGCCCGGCACAGAUGUGCAAUGAAUAUUUGGAUGUUGUUUUGCCCGUCAGUCGAAGAGGCUGAAUGGAUGAGGUGAUGAGUAUUCAGUGAUGGGUCCUGGACGUUGGCCAACAGCAGAGUUUGAGAACUUGUGCUGACGAUAAUCAGACUACCCUGCAAAGUACCUUUGCGGUACUUUAGCAGCAAAUUCUGUUAGAGACUGGUCGGUGGAAAGUUCCCUUUCCUUUUUGGUGCAAUGAGAUGUUUUGUUAUGUGUUUCAGACUUGGAAAAUGUAUAGAAGUUGCCUUUAUCGUGCCCUCACCUACCAACACUUGAGGCUGUGAGUAAUGCAGAGCUCACUGGUUGGGUUUGAAUUCCCCGUUUUCUAGCUUAUUUGUUUAAGCUCAUUUUGCCUGUUAAAAUGUGGCUGAAAAAUUCUAUCAACCAUAUAGAGCUGCUACGAGAAUCCAAUGAGUUGAUGUACAUAGAAUAAGCCCUAGAACAGUGCCUGGCUUAAGCAUGUGCUCAACAAAUGUUAACAAUUACCAUAUUAUUGGUCAUUUGCUUUUUCUCAAUGUCACUGUGGUCAAGUAGAUUGGAUACACUGAAAAUAAAGUUAAACCAUGUUCAUUACGUCA